AGUUGCAAGUUUGAGGCCAUAGCGGAAGUGCUUAUGGCAUGACCUGUCAGAUUCUAAUGAAUCUGCGAAUUCUGCC
rnacentral:ribozyme from 1 species